rnacentral:rRNA from 1 species
UACGUAGGGGGCUAGCGUUAUCCGGAAUUACUGGGCGUAAAGCGAGCGCAGGCGGUUCCUUAAGUCUGAUGUGAAAGCCCACGGCUCAACCGUGGAAGGUCAUUGGAAACUGGGGAACUUGAGUGCAGAAGAGGAGAGUGGAAUUCCAUGUGUAGCGGUGAAAUGCGUAGAUAUAUGGAGGAACACCAGUGGCGAAGGCGACUCUCUGGUCUGUAACUGACGCUGAGGCUCGAAAGCGUGGGGAGCAAACAGGAUUAGA